GUAUUAUUCUCGUUACUAUCUUAGUAAUUUCAGCCCUCCGUUUGAUUAUUUCCUGCCAUAUAUUCCUCCAGGGUGUGUUUGCUUCUUUUUGUUCCAGAACUUUCAGGUAUGAUGUUAAGCUGCUAGUAUCAGAUCUCUCCAAUUUCUUUAUGAAGGCACUUAGUGCUGUGAGCUUUCCUCUUAGCAGCAUAUUCAUUGUGUGCCACAAGUUUGGAUAUGUUGUGCAUUUAUUUUCAUUAAAUUCUAGGAAGUCUUUAAUUUCCUUGUUUCUGCCUUGACCUUGAAGUCAUUCAGUAGGGAGUUGCUCUGUUUCCGUGAAUGUGUAGGCUUUCCAUUGUUUCUGUUGUUGUUGAUAUCCAGCUUUAAGCCGUAGUAGUCUGAUAGGAUAGAGGGGUUAUUUCAGUUUUCUUGUAUCUGUUGAGACUUGCUCUGAGACUGAACUUGGGGACAGUUUUGAAGAAAGUUCAACGAGGUGCUGAGAAUAAGCCCCAGCCUGCCUUUCAGGAGUACCCGGUUCAUGUAAGCUGCAGGCAGCUUAUAGUUACAGAUUGGCACCACGAACACGGACCUGAAAACGGCAGGGUAAAACUGAGGGACCGCUGUCUUAUGUGGAGCUCCACAAGAAGGGAAGAACAAGAAGAUCGCAUCGGGCACAAUGAGCAACAGUGUACGUGCAGGUUGCUAUGGCUGCCCACCGCGAUUGGAAACACUUACCAGCUGUAGUGGCUAUUCCUGGUUGUCAACUUGACUAUAUUUGGAAUGAACUACAAUCCAGAAUUGGAAGGCUCACCA